rnacentral:lncRNA from 10 species
GGGAGCACCAGUGGGGCAGGGGGACAAGGACAUGGGGCUGUGCUGGUUGCCCACUCUACUCAGCCUCCCUGCCCUAGGGCAGCUAUGCCCUCUGCCUGACCCAAGACCCGGGGCCACACCGGGAGGAAUCCACGUGGUGGGGACAGGGUGCCCGGCAUUUGCACAGUCAGUGGCUGCUGUGUGCAGGCCCUGGGCUCACGCAGCGUCUCUCAGGGACAGUGGCGCCUCCAGAGGACCUUGGUACAGCCCAGAUGUGGAUGCGGCAGACCAGCCGAGGAGCCUUCAGCAUCUCCCGCCGAGAGAAGCCAGGCCAGCUGCCAGCGCUGGGAGACGAGAAAACCCCGAGUGCCUGGAGACCCGAGCCCCAAGUUUGCCUGAAGCACCCUGCUCCCUUCAACAAGCCUGUGAAUGUGACGUCUGGAGAAAGGGUGAGGCCUGGGCCUUAUAAAGGAACCUGGAGCCGGGUGUAGUGGCUCACGCCUGUAAUCCCAACACUUUGGGAGACCAAGCAGGGAGGAUCGCUUGAGUCCAGGAGUUCAAGCGCAACCUGGGCAACAUAGCAAGUCCCUGUCUGUACAAAAAAUACAAAUACUAGCCCAGUAUGGUGACACAUGCCUGUAAUUCCAGCUACUCAGGAGGCUGAGGCGGGAGGAUCGCUUGAGCCCACUAGUUUGAGGCCAACUUGGGCAACCUAGUGAGACCCGAUCUCUAUAAAAAAUUAGCCAGGCAUGAUGGUACUCA